AGUCGAACGGUCUUUUAGGAGACAGUGGCGGACGGGUGAGUAACGCGUAAGAAUCUACCUUCAGGUUGGGGACAACCACUGGAAACGGUGGCUAAUACCGAAUGUGCCGAGAGGUGAAAGGCUUGCUGCCUGAAGAAGAGCUUGCGUCUGAUUAGCUAGUUGGUAGUGUAAGGGACUACCAAGGCGACGAUCAGUAGCUGGUCUGAGAGGAUGAUCAGCCACACUGGGACUGAGACACGGCCCAGACUCCUACGGGAGGCAGCAGUGGGGAAUUUUCCGCAAUGGGCGAAAGCCUGACGGAGCAAUACCGCGUGAGGGAGGAAGGCUCUUGGGUUGUAAACCUCUUUUCUCAGGGAAGAACAGAAUGACGGUACCUGAGGAAUAAGCAUCGGCUAACUCCGUGCCAGCAGCCGCGGUAAUACGGAGGAUGCAAGCGUUAUCCGGAAUGAUUGGGCGUAAAGGGUCCGCAGGUGGCAUUGUAAGUCUGCUGUUAAAGAGUUUGGCUCAACCAAAUAAGAGCAGUGGAAACUACAAAGCUAGAGUGUGGUCGGGGCAGAGGGAAUUCCUGGUGUAGCGGUGAAAUGCGUAGAUAUCAGGAAGAACACCAGUGGCGAAGGCGCUCUGCUAGGCCGAGACUGACACUGAGGGACGAAAGCUAGGGGAGCGAAUGGGAUUAGAUACCCCAGUAGUCCUAGCCGUAAACGAUGGAUACUAGGCGUAGCUCGUAUCGACCCGAGCUGUGCCGGAGCUAACGCGUUAAGUAUCCCGCCUGGGGAGUACGCANGCAACUGUGAAACUCAAAGGAAUUGACGGGGGCCCGCACAAGCGGUGGAGUAUGUGGUUUAAUUCGAUGCAACGCGAAGAACCUUACCAAGGCUUGACAUGUCACGAAUCCUGUGGAAACAUGGGANUGCCUUCGGGA
rnacentral:rRNA from 1 species